UACGUAGGGUGCGAGCGUUAAUCGGAAUUACUGGGCGUAAAGCGUGCGCAGGCGGUCUGUUAAGACCGAUGUGAAAUCCCCGGGCUUAACCUGGGAACUGCAUUGGUGACUGGCAGGCUUUGAGUGUGGCAGAGGGAGGUAGAAUUCCACGUGUAGCAGUGAAAUGCGUAGAGAAUGUGGAGGAAUACCGAUGGCGAAGGGACAGCCUCCUGGGCC
rnacentral:rRNA from 1 species